UACGUAUAAUAAUUAAAACCGCAUUGGUUUUAAGUUUAAAGAUGGUCUUGCUAUCACUAAGAGAUGGUCCCGCGGUGUAUUAGUUAGUUGGUGAGGUAAUGGCUCACCAAGACAAUGAUACAUAGCCGAGUUGAGAGACUGACCGGCCACAAGUGGGAGUGAGACACGGCCCAUACUCCGUACGGGAGGCAGCAGUAGGAAUCUUCCACAUGGACGAAGUCUGAUGGAGCAACGCCGCGUGUGUGAUGAAGGGUUUCGGCUCGUAAAACACUGUUGUAAGAGAAGAAUGACAUUGAGAGUAACUGUUCAAUGUGUGACGGUAUCUUACCAGAAAGGAACGGCUAAAUACGUG
rnacentral:rRNA from 1 species